CUCAUUCGGAUUGGAGUCUGCAACCCGACUCCAUGAAGCUGGAUUCGCUAGUAAUCGCGCAUCAGCCACGGCGCGGUGAAUACGUUCCCGGGCCUUGUACACACCGCCCGUCAAGCCAUGGAAGCCGGGGGGUGCCUGAAGCCUGUAGUCUAACCGCAAGGGGGACGCAGUCGAAGGUGGGAUUGAUGACUGGGGUGAAGUCGUAACAAGGUAAC
rnacentral:rRNA from 1 species